rnacentral:misc_RNA from 1 species
AUUGCCAUGGGCCAGGGCUCCAACACAAAAGACUAGCCUAUCAGAUGGAGCUAAUCAAACUGCUUAUAAGAGCAAUAACCACCCCAUCUCUUACCAAUGUGGGAUUUUGUAACAAUAGGAUUUUGUCUAACCAACUACAAUGACAGCCCUAACAUGUUUCUUUAUGCAAAAUCACAUCUGACUCUGAAGGAUACUAUGCAGACGUAUUGGCAAAGCAUAGACAAAAG